AGUACUGGUAGUCUAGCUUUGUUAAUUCUCAGAGUGUCUUCUUUCCUGCUGAAGUUGUCUUGGUGUUUUUGAAUUUUAAUGGCCUCCCUCUGCAGUCUGACAAAGUAACCUUCUGAAUUGUCCAGAAUUUCAGUGUUUUCAAAUAAAAUGUUAUGUCCACUGCUUGCUGGACACAGUGU